rnacentral:rRNA from 1 species
CCCUUAGAUGUCCUGGGCUGCACGCGCGCUACACUGAUGUGUCCAGUAAGCACCUAACCUCUUCCGAAAGGAACGGGUAACCUUUGCAAAGCACAUCGUGAUGGGGAUAGAUUAUUGCAAUUAUUAGUCUUGAACAAGGAAUUCCUAGUAAGCACAAGUCAUCAGCUUGUGUUGAUUACGUCCCUGCCCUUUGUACACACUGCCCGUCGCUCCUACCGAUUGAAUGUUCCGGUGAGCUCUUCGGACUGCGCGGUCUGCAGUUUCUGCGUUCCGUGCGGAAAGUUGCGCAAACCUUAACAUUUAGAGGAAGGAGAAGUCGUAACA